GACGAACGCUGGCGGCGUGCUUAACACAUGCAAGUCGAACGCGCCUGUCCUCUGGGUUUCUGGGGGGUGGGUGAGUGGCGAACGGGUGAGUAACACGUGAGUAACCUGCCCCCUUCUUCGGGAUAACGGUCUGAAAGGGCUGCUAAUACCGGGUAUUCACUGGUCUCCGCAUGGGGUCUGGUGGAAAGGUUUUUUUCUGGUGGGGGAUGGGCUCGCGGCCUAUCAGCUUGUUGGUGGGGUGAUGGCCCACCAAGGCUUUGACGGGUAGUCGGCCUGAGAGGGUGACCGGUCACAUUGGGACUGAGAUACGGCCCAGACUCCUACGGGAGGCAGCAGUGGGGAAUAUUGCACAAUGGGCGCAAGCCUGAUGCAGCGACGCCGCGUGAGGGAUGGAGGCCUUCGGGUUGUGAACCUCUUUCGCCCGUGGUCAAGCCGCGACGUGGGUCGUGGUGAGGGUAGUGGGUAAAGAAGCGCCGGCUAACUACGUG
rnacentral:rRNA from 1 species